UAAAAAUUGAUUAUCAAACAGAUAAAUAAAUACUUAUUAUUAUUCUCUUAUGCUCUUUGCGUGCAAGCUCACUAAUAGCCCAAUUUGAGCCCAUAACUAAGGUAGAUUGGGCGUGCCCGAUGGUGCACGUGCGGCGCGCUUGUGAAAGAGGGCGAGAUCGGCGAUGGCCGGGGGAUGGGGGCGCUGAACCCACUGCAGAAAGUUCCUCGCCGAGAAGGCCGUCUUCGUGGACGAAGAGACCUUCGCCAAGGCUUCCUUCCGAGCAAGCGCGCACCAUUAAGGAAGUGUGCUCAGAAUGAGCAAAGCUAUCUGCUAUAUUGAAACUGGCGUAAAAGAAGCCUCUGUCCCGGUGCUCAGAGCAAUCUCUUUAUUAAGAAUGGUUCAUGCAACUUUCACCACAAAAAGCAUUGGCACUGGAGUCCAUCAUUCACAUACAAUGCUGGUGUUCCUCUCAUGAUGUAGCUUUUGAUUAAUUAGUCUGCUUGCCGCUGCACCUGACCCCCUCUGACACCUCAAGUGAUCAUGUAAGAGGAUAAUAUUCCAAUGCUUCCUUGAUGAAGCCGUGAUUCCAAUUCACUGGUGGAGGGAGGAGAAGCUGGAAAAUGGAAGUGAUGUGACAGCAUCUCAGCUGCAUUCUUUGGACAAACCAAGUGGGCCAAGUGUUGGAGGAAUAGAAAAGACAAGAAAGAUAUGAGUUAGCAGAUAAAAAGGUGUUUUUGUUGAGAUUAAAAGGUGCAUAGAGAUGAAAUGAACCACUGGUGGAAGGAUGGAAUACGUAUCUAUGGAUGGAAGAACUGUGGUAUACAAGCUGAUGGGCACAAUUAUUGAACCCCAUUUCACUUGAUAUGAAUGUGCACCUAAUAACAAUUAUCACAGUGGACAGACUGUAUGAACAGUUUUUGGACCACUUUUUUACAGCAUCCUAAUCCUGUUCUUGGCUGAAGGACAACCUGGCUUCACAGUCGAUCUCUUUUUAUAGAAUCGGUUGCCCAAAGUUAUAUUUACCUUGUAACAAUGUCAGAAGAAAGAUGAAAAUAAUUCAUGCCACCAUCAUGCAUGACUUGCUCUUCUGAGUGAUGCUUGACAUCUAAUGUGAAGUAUGUAUGACAUCUAAUUGCUCCUAACAUGCAGGCUCAUGCAUCUAUUGUGAUAAAAACAAUCGAGUCAUUGUUGUUUUGCUGAUGAUAGACAUGUGCAACAAAUCUUCAGCAUGCCUGACUUUGAUAUACUACAAAGAUGCAGACAAUUGUUUUGGACCAUUUUGUACCACCAGACUGCAUUGCUGUCUUCUGAUUCCCAGCACAAAAGCCCACCCUUUCGUCAGGCAAUAUUUCUAUGGACUACCACAAGUGAAAUGCUCUCAGCUUACAUAUCUAUGAAGAACUGGGAAUCUUUGUUGAAGGAAUGGAUAUAAAGAUGGAAUCCUGAGCAGACAAGUUUAUGCAGCUCAUCCAAUACCUAAUACUGGUGCAACCACCGGCGAAACAUCUGACCAACUCCAUUUGAUGUGCAGAACCUCAACUAAGAAGUUAUGACUCAUCGCUAAAUCAUUUCAGCUUUGUCAAUCAUUAGCUCAAUGAAUCUUGAAAUGUGGGCCAUGCUGGUAUCCAGAAUCCAAUGAAAGAAGAGGUGGGGUUGUUCUAUGAAGGCUGCCAGAUUUGUCAUCAGACUAAACUUUCUUAUGCAUGUCAAACUGUUCAUCUAACAAAUGGUUGUCGAGUCCAUGCACACUGCAAAAAAAAUAAAAAGGGGGAGGAGGGGGGGAUUUAAGAGCAGGCUUUUAUUCUGAAGAUGCUUGCCUGCUAUAACAUUGUCUGCAACGAGGAGACCAAGAGUGGUGUAUGUUUUAUAUGCAUCAGAUAUAUAUAUAUAAUUGUGCGGUACUAAUCUGAGAAGGGACAAGCUUUGCAACACAUCUCCCACUGUGUCUUCUCAGCUCAUCCCUAUCUCCCUGAAGAAGCCUGUGGAUGUAUGUGCCAGUAUCUCUGCGACCAUUCUUUCCCGCUUCUUCUGAGCCAUAUGAAGGUGUCCCCUUGUUCUUUUGUUUCAAUUAUUUUUUAAGCAUAAUGGUCAUAUAUGAUGUAUGAAUCCUCAGGAAAA